ACGGGGGGUGCAAGCGUUAAUCGGAAUUACUGGGCGUAAAGCGCGCGUAGGCGGUUUGACAAGUCGGAUGUGAAAGCCCUGGGCUCAACCUGGGAAUUGCAUUCGAAACUGUUUGACUAGAGUAUGGUAGAGGGAAGUGGAAUUUCAGGUGUAGCGGUGAAAUGCGUAGAUAUCUGAAGGAACAUCAGUGGCGAAGGCGACUUCCUGGACCAAUACUGACGCUGAGGUGCGAAAGCGUGGGGAGCAAACAGG
rnacentral:rRNA from 1 species